AGCUUUGUGCAGUGGUAGCAUUGUAACCAAUUAGGCUUAUCCAAGGCACAAUUAUUGCUAAUUAAAUAUCGUGUUUCUGUUUCC
rnacentral:snRNA from 1 species